rnacentral:lncRNA from 1 species
CUCUCUGCUGGUGCAGGAGGGCAGUCCCUGCACCUGGUCUGUGAUGCUGACAGCAGCCCUUCUGCCAGCCUGAGCUGGUCCCAGGGCAGCCUGAUCCUGAGCCCCUGCCAACCCUUGCAUCCCCGGGUCCUGGAGCUGCCCCAGGUGGUUUUAGGGGAUGGAAGAGAAUUCACCUGCUGGGCUCAGGCCCUGCUGGGCUCCCACCCCAUCUCCCUGAGCCUGGCUGUGCAGGGUGAGUGUUAGCAGAACACCUGAUUCUGGUGGGGGCGCCUUAGGCAAGGGAAGAGUGGGCUGAGGACACCCCCACCUCUGUCUUCCUUCC